rnacentral:rRNA from 1 species
UAGGGAAUCUUCCACAAUGGGCGAAAGCCUGAUGGAGCAACGCCGCGUGAGUGAAGAAGGUUUUCGGAUCGUAAAACUCUGUUGUAAGGGAAGAACAAGUACAGUAGUAACUGGCUGUACCUUGACGGUACCUUAUUAGAAAGCCACGGCUAACUACGUGCCAGCAGCCGCGGUAAUACGUAGGUGGCAAGCGUUGUCCGGAAUUAUUGGGCGUAAAGCGCGCGCAGGCGGUCCUUUAAGUCUGAUGUGAAAGCCCACGGCUCAACCGUGGAGGGUCAUUGGAAACUGGGGGACUUGAGUGCAGAAGAGGAAAGUGGAAUUCCAAGUGUAGCGGUGAAAUGCGUAGAGAUUUGGAGGAACACCAGUGGCGAAGGCGACUUUCUGGUCUGUAACUGACGCUGAGGCGCGAAAGCGUGGGGAGCAAACAGG